CGCACCAUUAUAGUAACUUUUAUUCAGAAAUGGAAUCUCACACAAUUUUCAAAACAUCAGGGGCUGGCACAGUAUAGGUAAACCUGUGCACUACUUGUACAAAGGGCCCUGUUGUUUCGGCGUCAUCGCUCUUUGGUAGGUGACCCAUGGCCAGCAAUAAGCGACGGCAGAAAAAUCGCACCAAGUACAAUCACAAUCUUCAGAACUCUGCAUUUCUUUGGACCUUGGCACCCUUCGAAUGAGGUCACUUUUCCGACUUACUCCGCAGAAAUCAUAAACCAUCUUUUACUUUUAUACACAAAAUUGAUAUACAUCUAGGAACAAAUUGAAAACAGUGAAAGCAAAUCCUUAAGCUCCUCAGCAACAGCAAGAGUAACAGCAACAGCGUCAGCAACAGCAAUAAGUAUCUUGAACAACCUGUAGGCUCCUACAUAGCUUUUCGAUGUUCGACUAUGUCGUGACCCAGCCUAAAGAUCUGCGAUGCCAAAAUACUUAACGCUGAGCUUCCUUGACUCUUUCCAUUCCUUCUUUUGCGAGUCUGACGACCUGUUCAGCAUUCUGCUGCCCCUGUGUUUUAUCACGUGGUAUAUUUUCAUCUACAAACACCACCAGCGAAUGCGGGCGUACAGACAGGAGAUGGCAGAGAGGGCUUUGAGAAAAAGAUUAAGGAGCAGAAAAACCUGCACGCAGAAGCAGGGCAGGAGAGGCGGUGGGAAUGGUACAUGUUCCAUGUGUUCCUGUCAUCUGAACUAAAUAGAUUUUUAAUUUGGACUAAGGCUCUGGAGAGUGACUUCUUUGGCGAAUCGUCAGACUUCAGGAUUGGAGGAAUAUGAACUCCACAGCGUCAAGCCUGAAGGAAGUUUGGUGAACUUCACGAAAAAUGAAUUAAAUGUUUUUUAUAUAAAAAG